AUCCGCGUCAGUAAACAAUGUAAUCAAUUACAACUUUCAACAACGGAUCUCUUGGUUCUGGCAUCGAUGAAGAACGCAGCGAAAUGCGAUACGUAGUGUGAAUUGCAGAAUUCAGUGAAUCAUCGAAUCUUUGAACGCACAUUGCGCCCUUUGGUAUUCCAAAGGGCAUGCCUGUUCGAGCGUCAUUUGUACCCUCAAGCUUUGCUUGGUGUUGGGCGUCUUUUGUCUCCAGCUUGCUGGAGACUCGCCUUAAAGUCAUUGGCAGCC
rnacentral:rRNA from 1 species